AUUGAACGCUGGCGGCAUGCCUUACACAUGCAAGUCGAACGGCAGCACGGGUGCUUGCACCUGGUGGCGAGUGGCGAACGGGUGAGUAAUACAUCGGAACAUGUCCUGUAGUGGGGGAUAGCCCGGCGAAAGCCGGAUUAAUACCGCAUACGAUCUACGGAUGAAAGCGGGGGACCUUCGGGCCUCGCGCUAUAGGGUUGGCCGAUGGCUGAUUAGCUAGUUGGUGGGGUAAAGGCCUACCAAGGCGACGAUCAGUAGCUGGUCUGAGAGGACGACCAGCCACACUGGGACUGAGACACGGCCCAGACUCCUACGCGAGGCAGCAGUGGGGAAUUUUGGACAAUGGGCGAAAGCCUGAUCCAGCAAUGCCGCGUGUGUGAAGAAGGCCUUCGGGUUGUAAAGCACUUUUGUCCGGAAAGAAAUCCUUGGCCCUAAUACGGUCGGGGGAUGACGGUACCGGAAGAAUAAGCACCGGCUAACUACGUG
rnacentral:rRNA from 1 species